ACCAACUGAAACUAAGUUGAUAUCUGGAAUACUUGCUGUCACUUGCAAACUAUUUGAAUUUGUCAUCCCUACUGCAUACUUUAGUCAUUAAUGUCUGUGACCAGACAUAUCAUGCUUUUCCUACUAUUUCUAGCAGCAUGUUGAUGCCAGGGUUCUUUUCUUGGCCAUGGAUCUGAUGUUGAUGUCCAUCAGUCCGGCUACUUUGGACUAUGUUCUGUCUUUCCAUGAUGAAGAAAGUUAAUUUCCCUGCUUCCAUCUACCAAAGUAAACUAUGUGGCUAUCCUUUCAACAUGCUGCUACCUGAAAACCUUGUGGAUUUACUUGAUCCCUGCUACUUCUUUUACCCAUAUGGAUAUCCAUUUUUAGAACUAUAAUGCAUUUCCUACUUCUGGUAGCAGUGUUGAUGCUCAUGCUUUUGUAAACAACUUGACACCAUGUUGGUUUCCAUGAUCUCUCCUGAUACAGGUAUUUAUGUUAAUGUAGGCGUUACUUAUUGCCAAUGUAUAGAAUGGUAAUUUCCAAGAUUUAAUGAACUUUUGGUAACUAGUUGAUACAUAUUAUUCAUGCUCUCACCUGCAGCCAUGCUGAUGUUAUUGACCACUGAUGCUUUUGCAAACCCUGUUGAUAUUAAUGAAUGGAGCUCCCCUGUAUUCCUAUUGGUUUUGUAAUCCACGUUGGUGCAGGUGGUCUUUUGAAUCAUGGGCUAACAUCUUGAUUGCCAUAAAUUCUCUAGUCCCUUAUGACCAUAUUAAGGCAAGUGUUCCUUUUUGGCAAUGUGUAGAAUGGUAAUUUCCAAGAUGUAUCAAGCAUUGGUAAAUAAACAAAUAUCCAUAUUUCAUGCUGCCACAUCCUAACAUGCUGAUCUCAUUGAUCCCUUUUGCUACUGGUAACCCUGUUGAUUUCUAUGAAUGUACCUGUAAUGCAUUUGUUGUUUCUCUAAGCCAUGUCCUUAUUACCAUGGGAUAACACCUUGAUUGCUUUCAAUUCUCCAUCACCUUAUCACCUUAUUUAUGUAAGUGUUCCUUUACCCAUAUGAAGAAUGUAAUUUCCAAGAAUUGAUAUACUAACAGAAACUAAGUGAAUAUCCUGAAUACAUGCUGCUACCUCCAAACAAGUUGAGGUCUUUAAUCUCAGCCUAGUCUCUUAAAUAUAUUCACGACCAUGAUUGGAACUAUAAUGCUAUUCCUCCUCCUUCUGGAAGCAAUGUUGAUGCUCAUGAUCUUCCUACCACUAUGAUCUUUCCUCCUACAAGUUACCAUGCUAAUGAAAGGACCUUUCGGGCAUUCCUUUGGUUCUGUAAGCCAUUUUGAUGCAUGUGGUCCUUGUUUUAAUGGGAUAACAUCUUGAUUGCCCUGACCUCUCUGACCCCUUACGGCCAUAUUAAGGUAAGUGUACAUUUUGCCAACAUGAGGAAUGUAAAUUUUCAUGAUCUGAAAUACCAACUGAAGGUAAGUUGAUAUCCGGAAUACUUGCUGCUACCUCCAUAUAAAUUGAAUUCAUUUAUCCCUGCUGCAUCUGGUAAACAUGGGGAUGUCCAGAAUCCAUUGUCUUAUGGAAUUUCUGGCAUUACUGGAAGCCAUGUGGAUGCCUGUGGUCCUUCUUGCCAGUAUAUUCCAUGUAGAUUUCCUUGAAAUCUUGCCACCUGUGUCAAUGUUCAUGUUAAGUGUUCUGUGCUCUCAAUGUGAAGAACAUUAAUUUCCAAGAAUUUAACCACCAACUGAAACUAUGUUGAUAUACAGAAUACAUGGUGCCACCUCCAAACAUGUUGAAGUCAUUGAUCCCUUCUGCCUCUGUUGGACAUAUUGGUGUUUAUGAUUCUAAUUGUGAUAUUCCUAGUACAUUUGAAAUCCAUGAUGAUGCCCAUCAUAUUUGUACCAGUGGAUACCAUAUUGUGUUUUGUGAUCUCUCCUGCUGUCUUUACCUUGUUAAAUUAAAUGUUCUCUCACCAACAUGAAGAAUAUUAAGUUCCAAAAUUUAACCAUUGAAAUGUUAAAUUCCAAGAUAUCACUAAUCUUGGAAACUAAUUUUAUAUCCAUAAUUCUUGGUGUCAUCUGAAUCUGUGAUCAUUUUAUUGAUCCCUCUUGUCUCUGUUAACCAUGUUGAUGCCUAUGAUCAGAACUUCCAUGCUAUUCUUAUUCCUUCUGGAAGCCAUGUUGAUUCCCCUGCUCCUUGUUAUCUCUAGAUAACGUCUUGAUAUUGGUGACUUGUGUGGUCAAUUAUGACCAUAUUAAGAUAAAUUUUCUGUUAUUUCAUCAUGAACAAAGUAAAUUUCUAAGAAUUCAAGUAUCAUCUGAAAAUAAGUUAAUAUCCAUUAUUCAUGCUGCUGUCUAUAAACAUGUUGAUGCCAUUUUUUCCUGCUCCCUCUUAAUGGUUUUGAUGUCCAUGGUCAGACAUUCCAUGGUAUUCCUACUAUUUCUGGGAGGCAUGUUAAUGCCUGUGGUUCUUCUUGCUGCUCAAUAUGAAGUUUAUAUCUAUCUUUCCUGCCAUUGUUUUGUGAAUGAGAAAAAUGUUAAUUUUCAAGAUUUAAUGUGCAGUCUGAAAAUAAGUUGAAAUCUAUGAUUCAUGCUGCCACCUGCAACCAUGUUGAUGUCAUUGAUCCAACUCUGUUAAUCAAAUUGAUAUCUAACAUAGGCCAUCAUGCUAUUCCUGCUUCUUCUGGAAGCCAUGUAGAUGCCUGUGUUCCUUCUUAACCACUACAUACAUUGUUGAUGUCCAAUAACUCUCCUGCCCCUUGUGACUACAAUAAAUUAUUGUUCUGUGUUAUCAACAUGCAGAAUGUUAAUUUGCAAGAUUUAUCCCACCAUGCAAAUGUAAGAUGAAAUCCAUUAUUCAUGGUGCCACCUGAAACCAUGUUGAUGCCAUUGAUCCCAUGUGCCUCUGUUAACCAAAUUGAUGUCCAUUAUUGAAUGACCUACCAUGCUCUUCCUACUAUUUCUGGAAGCCUUGUUGAUGCUUGUGGUCUUUCUUACUGUAGAUAUGACAUUGAUGUCCAUAUCCUUAGAGAUAUUCUGCUACCUGAGACCCUACUGAUGCAAGAGUUCUGUGCUGCCAACGUGAUGAAUGUUAAUUGCCAUGAUCUCAGCUACCAUCUGAAACUGGUGAUAUUUACAUGCUACCACCUGCAAACUUGUUGAUGACAUUGAUACCUGCUGUUCUCUUUAUCAUGUUCAUGAGCUUUCCUAUGCUAUUCCUAUUGGUUUGAAGUCCAUGUUGAUGCCUUAUGUCACGUUUUGCUCCUGGAUAAGGUGUUGAUGUUGAUGUCCAUGUUCUGUCCUGCCACCUGAGACCAAACUGAGUGUACAGUGUCAUCAGAAACAUUGUUGAAGUCAAUUCUCCAUAGUGCUACCUUAGACCCAGUUCAAGCAACCAUGUUGAUGUGAGUGAUUCUCGCUGCCUCUCUUAACCUUGCUGAUGUCCAUGAUUCCACCCGUCAUCUGAAACUUUGUUGAUGUCACUGAUCUUUGCUGUUGCUGUCAAUCAUGUUGAUGCUACUGAAACUUGCUUCCACUUGUAACCAUACUACUGUCUCUAGUCUGUUAUAAUCUGUGACAAUUCUGAAAUCAAUGGUAUAUACUACCACCUGAGACCCACUUCAGGAAACCAACCAUGUUGAUGUCACUGAUCUUUGUUUCCUGUUUUGACCAUGUGGAUGUCCAUUAUCUGACUUAACAUCUAAAAUUUUGUUGAUGUCACUCAUUCAUGCUGCCGCUGAUAACCAUGUUUAUGGCCAUAGUCUUUGUUGGUAUCUUAGACCUUGUGAAUGUCCAUUGUCCAUGUUGCCACCUGAGUCCAUGAUCAUGACCAAGAUGACUUUAGUCUUUGCUGCUGUCAGCCAUAAUGUCGAUGUCUCUGAUUGGUGCUGCUACUGGGGACUAGGUCAAUAUGAAUGAUCUGAGCUGCCAACAGAAACUAUUUUGACAUCAUUAAGCCAUCCUUGGGCUGGAGACCAUGUUGAAAUCUUUGUCCUUGAUGCCACCAAAUACUAUGUUUAUGUUCAUGCUCUGGGUUGCAUGCUGAAGACCAGUUGGAUAUCCAUGACCCAGGUGCUGAUGGAGACUGUGUCGAUGUCUGUGGUCAGUACUGCCACAAGAAGACAUCUUGAUAGUGAUCUGUGAUGCCUCCCUUAAACAUGUUAUGUUGGUGAUCUGUGUUGAUAUCCUGGGCCAGAUGGAUGGCAGUUAUCCAAGCUGUCACCAGAAAUCUUGUGGACCAUGAUCCGUGCUGCUCCUGGAAACCCUCUAGAAGUCUAUGAUUCAUUCUGCUGCUGGAAACCAUGUGGAAGGCCUUCAUCUGUACUGCCACUGCCUUCUAUGUGCAAGGAACUUCUUUUGCAGUAGUAUCAAUGACUGUAGAAUCAUAACUGAAAUUCACACGGACAUUGAAGGCUUCUUUGCCACCAUCCCUCCAAAAAAGAAAAUCUAGACUUGAUCUUAUUGGAGAGUUUUUGAAAGUUGUAAUAAAAAUACUUAACUGUAGCUCUUCACAGUUGAUAGCUUCAGGCAGGGGUUGGGAAAGAACUCCUCUUUGAAGGGCUGGCUACUGCAAAUUUGACCAUGCUCCAAUGAGUAUAAGGAGAAUACCAAUUGGACUUGUUAUAUUGUAUUUUUGCUCUUCUGGGGGAGGAUGCCACAAGGGUCAGAGGGUGGACCUGGGAGGACCUGGAAUCAAGUGUGAUUGAGGUAUGUUGUAUGACAUUCUCAAAUGAUUAAUAAAAUAUUAA